AAUUAUGGACUAUAUAUCUCACCGCUCAGUCCGCGUAUCACUACGGGUGGCGUUAUUGGAGCUCGAGAUGGAGGGCAACGCAUUGGACAGACAGUACAAGAAACGGACAUUCCUACAAUUUCAAAUUUUGUAGGGUAAUGUGUUAGCAAAAUUGCAUAGGUAAGUAUUUCAGUCCACAACGAUAAGAUGUGGUGAAUCCGUGCUGCCAUAAUGAAUGUAGACAGAACAAACUCGUAGGGAGAAGGGGCGUGGCGGUGAUUAAACACCUCAUCGUAAGAAUGAAUGUGUUGCUACCAAUUCUGGAGCCUGGAUUGGCCAGCGGGGCCGAAGCGACACGCUCAGGACUGUACAAACUAGUAAAAGCACAACAAAACACAGAGCAAGGCUGAACAUAAGUGCCGCUGGAAAGCCGAGAGAGGCAUGGAGAGCCCCUCAAACAAAACGCAUAUGUAGAAAGUUUCUCGCAACCAAAGCACAGAAAAAUGUAACAAUGUAAGCAAAAGCAUGGCGACGCACGGUGAAGCACAGGCUGCAGAAAUAAAAACGGGGUCUGUUUUUGGAAUCGGCAGCGCAGUUGUUGCGACGGCAACGCCCAGGGUGCAACAACAACAGCGUCUACAGGCAAAGUAGUUCAUUUCAAGGAUGGCAGCUUCUUAAUGAUGCUCUGUUUUCUAUAAGGGUUUCAACCUACAGGCAGUUUCUAAGCAUUUCAAAAUGGCAGGCCGCCCCUCCCCAGGCUAGACCAAGGAGACAGCAGUGUCAAUACGUUUGGGACGUAGUCUCCGACAAAGCAAACUGUAUUUAAUGGAAGAGUGUGCUCAUAAUAAAACACAUCUAUCUGAAAGACCAGAUAUAUUUGUUAA